CCUACGGGGGGCAGCAGUGGGGAAUAUUGGACAAUGGGGGCAACCCUGAUCCAGCCAUGCCGCGUGUGUGAAGAAGGCCCUCGGGUUGUAAAGCACUUUCAGUGAGGAAGAACGCCUGGUGGUUAAUACCCAUCAGGAAAGACAUCACUCACAGAAGAAGCACCGGCUAACUCCGUGCCAGCAGCCGCGGUAAUACGGAGGGUGCGAGCGUUAAUCGGAAUUACUGGGCGUAAAGCGCGCGUAGGUGGCUUGAUAAGCCGGUUGUGAAAGCCCCGGGCUCAACCUGGGAACGGCAUCCGGAACUGUCAAGCUAGAGUGCAGGAGAGGAAGGUAGAAUUCCCGGUGUAGCGGUGAAAUGCGUAGAGAUCGGGAGGAAUACCAGUGGCGAAGGCGGCCUUCUGGACUGACACUGACACUGAGGUGCGAAAGCGUGGGUAGCAAACAGGAUUAGAUACCCUAGUAGC
rnacentral:rRNA from 1 species